AUUGAACGCUGGCGGCAGGCCUAACACAUGCAAGUCGAACGGCAGCACAGAAGAGCUUGCUCUUUGGGUGGCGAGUGGCGGACGGGUGAGUAACACGUAGGAAUCUACCCAGUAGUGGGGGAUAACCUGGGGAAACCCAGGCUAAUACCGCAUACGCCCUGAGGGGGAAGCGGGGGAUCUCCGGACCUCGCGCUAUUGGAUGAGCCUGCGUCGGAUUAGCUAGUUGGUGGGGUAAGGGCUCACCAAGGCGACGAUCCGUAGCUGGUCUGAGAGGAUGACCAGUCACACCGGAACUGAGACACGGUCCGGACUCCUACGGGAGGCAGCAGUGGGGAAUAUUGGACAAUGGGCGCAAGCCUGAUCCAGCCAUGCCGCGUGGGUGAAGAAGGCCUCGGUGUAAG
rnacentral:rRNA from 1 species